GUGAGUAACAAAGACCCUGAAAGGUCCUCUGUCAACUCUUUUACAAACAGGCCUUUUUGUUUGUUUACUAGGAAUUAGCUGAAAUACACGAGCAGCACCCCCGCAGUAUUUUCUCCCUGUUUCCCCAGCACCCGUUAGUUCUCACUGCUGCUGCUCCCAAGUGCUCCUUCGCUCCGUAGUCAGAGCGCUGCCCUUGCUCACACGGACCGAGUUCUGCCCUGGCCGUGCAUCUGACGCCCUGGCACUUGGCACCCCGUACUUCAUAGCCGGCGUUGGGAAGGGGACGGGCGAUGAAGGGGGCAUACAGACCCGUCUCCAGCUGUGACGUGUGCAUGCGUGUGUGAAUGGGCUCAACCGUGUCGCGCCCAGAUAAGCCUCAUUUGCCUUUGCUCUUUGGAAGCUUCCUGCCUCGCUAGAGUGCCAGAGUGCCGCUGGGUGGAGCGUUCCCAUUUUUAAGGAUGAGGGGUGGGGCAUCUCACAGAGUCACAAAUGGCAUCUGUGGGAGGCCGAUGGUGGCCCCUAAAGAUAUCCGGUCCUAAUCUGUGAAACCCAUGGAUGUUACAUUACACGGUGAAGACUUUUCAAAGAAGAGAAGAUGGAAAGAUGGAGCACAGAAAGAUUGGAAGGUGCUGAAAGUAAAGAGUCCUUAAACAUGGGAACAAUCCAGCCAUAAGCCACAGCACUGAGGUUACCAAAGCUGAAGAGGCCAGGAGUAUGUUCUCCCUGGAGCUGCUGGGACAGGAGGGGCCUUGAUUCAGGCUCAGUGAAGCGGAGGUGGAACUUCUCACCUCCAGAAGUGUCAGAGA
rnacentral:lncRNA from 1 species